rnacentral:snoRNA from 2 species
GCUUGGCAAGAAUGAUGAUUCAAUUAGAUGUGUGAAAAAGGGAAAUCCUUUUUUUAUGAACUCAACUAUUUGAGGCAUUUGGAUUUGUCUGACUUGCCUGCC